rnacentral:tRNA from 1 species
GCCCGGGUGCUGGAAUUGGCAGACAGGAUAGACUCAAAAUCUAUUGGCCGUAAGGUCGUGAGAGUUCAAAUCUCUCCCCGGGCACAA